rnacentral:rRNA from 1 species
CGAGCACGCGCGUGUGGCAUAUCAAUAAGCGGAGGAAAAGAAACUAACAAGGAUUCCCUAGCUAACGGCGAGUGAAGCGGGAAGAGCUCAAAUUUGAAAUCUUAAAGGUUUCCCUUGACGAAUUGUAGUUUAUAGAAGUGUUUUCUGUUAGGGAGUUCGGUAAAAGUUCUUUGGAAUAGGACAUCAUAGAGGGUGAGAAUCCCGUAUUUGGUCAUUCCUCCUAGCGUUGUGAUACACUUUCAACGAGUCGGAUUGUUUGGGAAUGCAGUCCAAAAUGGGUGGUAAAUUUCAUCUAAGCUAAAUAUUGGCGAGAGACCGAUAGCGAACAAGUACCGUGAGGGAAAGAUGAAAAGAACUUUGAAAAGAGAGUUAAACAGUACGUGAAAUUGUCAAAAGGGAAGCGUUUGACACCAGUGUUGCUUUUUCCGAAAAUCAAUUACGAAUGUUUUAGUUUUUAAGGAGUUAUGACUUCAUCGGCUUGCUUCUCUCUUUAUGAAACUUUCUUAAUGCACUUUUCGGUUAACAAGUCAACAUCAAUUUCUUUUGUUGUAAAAGGGUAUGAGGAAGGUGGCUUUCUUUUCGGAGAAAGUGUUUAUAGCCUUGUAGCCUCUGCAAUCGGAGAGAUUGAGGUCUGCAGCGUAGAUCCUUCGGGGUUAGAUACAGUUUGUGCUAAGUUAUAGCUUUUCAUAGACAACUUGUUGACUAUGUUUAGUCUUGUAGCUUACUCGCUUAUGCUAUUUUACCUACGCUUAGGAUGUUGAUGUGAUACUGCGAGC